AUGAGAGAGCGGCGUACGGGUGCGUAACACGUGUGCAACCUGCCUUUAUCUGGGGGAUAGCCUUUCGAAAGGAAGAUUAAUACUCCAUAAUAUAUUGAACGGCAUCGUUUAAUAUUGAAAGCUCCGGCGGAUAGAGAUGGGCACGCGCAAGAUUAGCUAGUUGGUGAGGUAACGGCUCACCAAGGCGAUGAUCUUUAGGGGGCCUGAGAGGGUGAUCCCCCACACUGGUACUGAGACACGGACCAGACUCC
rnacentral:rRNA from 1 species